AAAAAUUGACAAGGAGAAAGGCAAAGCAUUAGUUAGAAGUUCCGGCUAUGUCGCAUUGCUUUGUUGUGCAUCUUCCCAAAGAAACUUCUUCGGUUUCCUUGCAAUGUGCACAUCAACAAGUUAUGUACGAUGAUUGUCCGCAUAAUAAUUCGCACCACAUGUCAUAAAUCAAUGUCAGAAAACUAGAAACAGAUUAACAGAGCCAUGGAUGGUAGAGAGAGGAAAAAUUAUAUGCAGCUUCCACAAAGGCAUGAGUAGGAAAAUACACAAUAUGAAGAAACAUUCGAAAUUUGUUACUACAACGAAAUGACCUAGUUCUUCCUUUUGACACCAGCUUCAGUUCAGAAAAGAAUGACCAUGCCACCCACCAAAGCGGGCCAUGUUCUACCCAAACUGGGCCUGGAAAAGUAUUUGAAAUUAUAAGUCAAUUAGGAAAAAAGUUAUGUUGUGUCCAAACAUGUAAAAGGGUGAAUUUUGUUGUGCAAAGUUCAGUAUUUUGUGAACUUCCUUCCUUUCCUAAAUUGUGAAUUUCUGUUACUCUGUUACCUUUGUGAACAAGAAGCAACACGUGCAUAGGCAUUUGGAGUAUUUGCUCAUUCAUUGACCUGUUCUAGAUAGGCAUACAUCAGUGCAAGCAUACAUCCAUGUGCUACUCAUUCUUACCACAAAUAAGGAUACCUCUGCAGCUUCAGAAUUAGUUAGUAUCUAUGUGUCACCUCGGCAGCCUGGAUAUCAAAUGAGGACAAAAAGGAAUCAUCAGGCAAUCAAAACAAAAGAAUGACACCUCUGCAGCUUCAGAAUUAAUUAGUAUCAAUUAUAGAAAGACACUGAGCAUCAUGCCUACCUUUUGUUCUAGAUGAUAUGACCCUUUUUGACUAUAUAUAUGCUAGCUAGCUUUUGCCAGUCUCAAACAGCAUUAAGCAUUCAGGCAGUCACAUGCAUAUUUUCUCUAGAAGUUGUGGAGCAUUAAUGUUUCCUUAUCUUUUGAUACAUAUACUUGUAGUUUAAUUUUCUCCUGUGACCAAAUGAGCAAUGAAAAACUAGCAAAGUACAACAACUAAUUAUAUGAGUAAAUCAUCAUCCAACCUAAUAG
rnacentral:lncRNA from 1 species